UACGUAGGUGGCAGGCGUUGUCCGGAUUUACUGGGCGUAAAGGGCGUGCAGGCGGUUUGUUAAGUGCAGGGUGAAAGCUCCCGGCUCAACUGGGAGAGGUCCUUGCAUACUGGCAAACUCGAGGGAGGCAGAGGAAAGUGGAAUUCCCGGUGUAGUGGUGAUAUGCGUAGAUAUCGAGAGGAACACCUGCGGCGAAGGCGGGUUGCUGGGCUGACACUGACGCUGAUGCGCGAAAGCCAGGGGAGCGAACGGG
rnacentral:rRNA from 1 species